rnacentral:rRNA from 1 species
UUAAGAAUCUUGCGCAAUGGGGGAAACCCUGACGCAGCGACGCCGCGUGGACGAUGAAGGCCUUCGGGUUGUAAAGUCCGAUAAGCGGGGAAGAAUAAGCAACGGGUAAUAUUCGUUGUGAUGACGGUACCUGCCUAAAGCCCCGGCUAACUACGUGCCAGCAGCCGCGGUCAUACGUAUGGGGCUAGCGUUGUUCGGUAUUAUUGGGCGUAAAGGGCGUCUAGGCGGGGAAUUAAGUUAGGUGUGAAAUCCCUGGGCUCAACCCAGGAACUGCAGCUAAAACUGGUUCUCUUGAGUUCGGGAGAGGAGAGCGGAAUUCCCGGUGUAGCGGUGAAAUGCGUAGAUAUCGGGAAGAACACCAGUGGCGAAGGCGGCUCUCUGGCCUAGAACUGACGCUGAAGCGCGAAAGCGUGGGGAGCGAACG